GCACCGGCUAACUCCGUGCCAGCAGCCGCGGUAAUACGGAGGGUGCGAGCGUUAAUCGGAAUUACUGGGCGUAAAGCGCAUGCAGGUGGUUUGUUAAGUCAGAUGUGAAAGACCCGGGGCUCAACCUCGGAAUAGCAUUUGAAACUGGCAGACUAGAGUACUGUAGAGGGGGGUAGGAAUUUCAGGUGUAGCGGUGAAAUGCGUAGAGAUCUGAAGGAAUACCGGUGGCGAAGGCGGCCCCCUGGACAGAUACUGACACUCAGAUGCGAAAGCGUGGGGAGCAAACAGGAUUAGAUACCCUGGUAG
rnacentral:rRNA from 1 species